UCUUCGACGAGCGAGACCAGCGAGACCAGAGAGAGCUCAGUGCGAGACCGGCGAGACCAGAGAGAGCGAUACCGUCUUCUUCGACGAGCAUUGUCCUCUUCAUCUCUGUCGUUUCGAUUUCUAAGUUUUCUCCCAAUAUCAUUUGACCAUGGAUUUAAACAGCUUGGAAAUGUGGUCCUUUGAACUGAUUGUUCUUCUAUCUGGUCUUCUUCCAAACCCAAAGUUGGAAACCUCAGUGCUACAUUAUCAUCCCCUCGCCAGUAUAGUUGAGGGUCUGGGUAAUUUUGUUUCGAUCUAUUCUACAUUUGCAGAAUGCUGCAUUCGUCUUGGUUCCUGGCGGAUUUGGAGAUCGUGGUGUGAAAGGUAUGAUUUUAGCUGCAAAGUAUGCCAGAGAGAACAAUGUUCCUUAUCUUGGGAUUUGUUUGGGCAUGCAGAUUUCCGUGAUUGAGUUCGCAAGAUCCGUUUUGAGUUUAGAAAGGGCGAACAGCACAGAGUUCGAUGAACAUACACCAAAUCCUGUUGUAGUUUUUAUGCCCGAGGUACAAAUUUAUGGUGAUGCUAUCCUAUUCAGUUAUGAAAUACAUAU